UUUAUGGAGAGUUUGAUCCUGGCUCAGGAUGAACGCUGGCGGCGUGCCUAAUACAUGCAAGUCGAGCGAACAGAUAAGGAGCUUGCUCCUUUGACGUUAGCGGCGGACGGGUGAGUAACACGUGGGUAACCUACCUAUAAGACUGGAAUAACUCCGGGAAACCGGGGCUAAUGCCGGAUAACAUGUUGAACCGCAUGGUUCUACAGUGAAAGACGGUCUUGCUGUCACUUAUAGAUGGACCCGCGCCGUAUUAGCUAGUUGGUGGGGUAACGGCCUACCAAGGCGACGAUACGUAGCCGACCUGAGAGGGUGAUCGGCCACACUGGAACUGAGACACGGUCCAGACUCCUACGGGAGGCAGCAGUAGGGAAUCUUCCGCAAUGGGCGAAAGCCUGACGGAGCAACGCCGCGUGAGUGAUGAAGGUCUUCGGAUCGUAAAGCUCUGUUGUUAGGGAAGAACAAAUGUGUAAGUAACUGUGCACAUCUUGACGGUACCUAACCAGAAAGCCACGGCUAACUACGUGCCAGCAGCCGCGGUAAUACGUAGGUGGCAAGCGUUAUCCG
rnacentral:rRNA from 1 species